rnacentral:lncRNA from 1 species
GAAUUGUUGAUCAUAAUUUAACUUUUCUGAUCGCUACACGUCAUCUGGUUUAUAUUCCGUCAUCGGAUUUGCCAAGUUCCGGUUGGUUUCCACAUGAUACGAAUUACAUGAUUGCCGAAAUUUGGUCAGCAGCAGAGAUGGCGCCAAAGAAGAAGGAUGCUUCCACGUCUGUCUCGAAUGGUGAGAGGUGUAGGCGAUGGGAGGCAGCUGAAAAAAGGUGACCAAGACUACAUCGAACAGGAACGAAAGCGAAAAGCUGAUUAUAGGGGUCGGAUGAAUCCUGAACAAGUUGACAGGUGGAUGAUUGGCCAUGGGUGACUUUUUUCACUAAAGUGAAACAAAGAUGGCUGGCAAAGGACAUCCACCACACUGUCAUGUUCGAAGACGUCAGAAUAGCAAUUGAUUGGACAUUAUUUGAGGAGAUGACUAACGCCCUGUCCACCUUUAGAAUGGACUACGAGAUCAAGAACCAAGAGGACACCAAUAACCAGUUUCUGAAUAAACAUAAAAAGGAGUAUGGCAAAACUGAUAUUGGUCAUUGAGAUAAACAAUAUUCAAGAUACAGGAUAGCUAAUGUUUAAUUGCACAGUGGAAGACUUUCAAAGUUAAAUUAAAUUAAAUUAAUUUUUCUAAAAUGAUUUUUCAUGUGGAUACAAAAUAGCAGCAAUUGUACAGCUUUGCCUAGGAAUAAUUUAUUGUGUCGCAGUUUUUUCCUGAUUAAGUCUUGCGAUAAUACUUUGAAUUCAUCAACAAUUUGAAGUGGUUUGUAAAAUAUUCAGUACAAUGAAUAAUUGUCAAACAGUUACUGAAUAUAUAAAUUAUAAAGGGUUAUUCCUAAAUGAAUGUUUGAGAGGGCUGGGAUGUACAUUUAAAAAUAUUUAAUGAGUGGUGGGGAUAUCAAGAUUCCACAAUCUGUUAUUUUUAAUAUACAACUUGCAUACAGCAUUAUAGUUUUAAAAUUUGAUGGGCGUGUGGGGUCCCUGAGUCUUAGAAAAUAUCUUCCUGCCCUGCCCACAUUAAUUUCUGGAAAACCCCAAACCACAUUCCAGGCUGUUGGGAAUCUUGUCUACCGAUAAACAAUUGUACUUGGAAUGAAAUUAUGUAUUAAUACAGUAAUGGAAUGUGUUAUCACUAUAUAUUACAACUUCAUUACAAUGUAAUUACCCUGGUGUGUUAAUUAGUAACUUAAUGUCAAAAUAAUAUCUAGAAACAAAAGAAUUUUCUUCUAGAACAUAUUUCGGGCAUACCAUGAGGCACAAGCAUUUUUUUUUACAAAGUAGACACAUUUAUAGUUGGUUGUAAAGAAGACAUAAUUGCAUGAUACUUCAUGAAUUUUUAUGCUAAAUUAGAUAUUAUUGAUAUGCAUAUGAUUUAAUUCAGAAAUAAUGAACAGCUGUUAUUUUCCGGCGAUGGGACAGCCUUAUUGGGUUGUUUAUAUUGAAAAAUAUUCCAUGGUUAUAGACCAGUUAGAAAUUAUUUUGAGAUACAUCGUCAUCACCAUUGUAGAAUUUGUGACUUGUCACACAGUAUGAUUUGGAAUAUGAAAUAAAAGUGGUUUGCAGACUGUAUUUUAUCCUGUUUUGCUUUGUAUGUCCUUUGUUCGUCCUGACAUCACAAAUGUCUGUCCUUUGUUCGUCCCGACAUCACAAAUGUCUGUCCUUUGUUCGUCCCGACACAAAACCCUGAUUUUUAUUUGUCUUGUGCUGCUUAAAUAGUUGUAAUUAACCUUUAAUUGUUUGAUUAUAUCUUAAUGUACUUGUAAUGUUUCAUUCCAUACUUCAGGGAACAUUUAAUUUUUCUUGUAAAUUGCUAUUUUAAAGCAUCAUGUCUGUCUCCGUUUGUCCCAACACUUUUUGAUUUUUUUUUAACCUUGAAAGAGUUUCAAGACAUUGAUAUAUUCACAUGUAUUAAUCCCAUUUUGGGUGGCAAGUUGUACCCACUACCCGAAAUGCAAAUGAAUUAAAACAGAUUUAUAUGAAAAAAACUU